rnacentral:rRNA from 1 species
AGAACGAACGCUGGCGGCAUGCCUAACACAUGCAAGUCGAACGGGACCUUCGGGUCUAGUGGCGCACGGGUGCGUAACGCGUGGGGAUCUGCCCUUAGGUACGGAAUAACUCAGGGAAACUUGAGCUAAUACCGUAUAAUGACUUCGGUCCAAAGAUUUAUCGCCUAGGGAUGAACCCGCGUAGGAUUAGCUUGUUGGUGAGGUAAAGGCUCACCAAGGCGACGAUCCUUAGCUGGUCUGAGAGGAUGAUCAGCCACACUGGGACUGAGACACGGCCCAGACUCCUACGGGAGGCAGCAGUGGGGAAUAUUGGACAAGUGGGCGAAAGCCUGAUCCAGCAAUGCUGCGUGAGUGAUGAAGGCCUUAGGGUUGUAAAGUCUCUUUUGCCCGGGAUGAUAAUGACAGUACCGGAGAAUAAGCUCCGGCUAACUCCGUCGCCAGCAGCCGC